GCUACCGUCACGUUGUCGAUCGCGAAAUGAUCAAGCAGUGUGAACAGAAGGCAUAUUUCGUUCUGUGUGUCGCGUCGUUCUUUGUUUUCUGUUCUGUCCUUCGUAGUGUGCAGCGAGUCGCGAUCUUUUUCGACAACAAUUACGCGAGCUACGAAAUUACGUGAUCAAAAGUCGACGGUGUGAACGGAGGCUCUUGCGCGAGCGCGCGUCGACGAGAGAUCUAGCCGAGAGUAAGCGGCAACGAUCGACGACGACGACGACGACGACGACAACGACAACGGGCGCCAUUUUGUGCGCUCGUUGCGGCAAACUAACGUUGGCGAGGCGACGGACGGUGGACCAGCGCGUCCACGAGGUACCGUUUCUACGACGCUGAAAUUCCAGUAGCUGAUACCACGCGCAACCACCUGCGCGUUUUCCACCCUCUCUGUGCCUCUUCUCCCUUCCCCUUCCCCCAUUUCUUUCUGUUUCCUCUUCUUCUUCAGUUGCAGCGUUCCAUCAAGCAGCGUUGAUGAUUGGGAUUCCGCGGGACGAUCGGCACAAAAUCACGGUCAAGAUCCGCAAUAACAUGAAGAGGAGCCCGAGUCGUACUCCUCCUCCUCGCGUGAAGCGGAGCCGAUCGUCGAUGGGACGUCUGUUUCAGAAUCCGUCGAUGUGGGGGAUAACGUUCGCGCGGUCGCAAGCGGAAACGUCUGCUGUAUCUUGAAAUACAAUGAAGAAAAUGGAAAAAUAAAUCGCAAACGCACAGUUUUAUAACUUGCAAUUAUAGUUUUCUUCGAUUAUA
rnacentral:misc_RNA from 1 species